UACGCAGGUGGCAAGCGUUGUCCGGAUUUACUGGGUGUAAAGGGCGUGUAGGCGGGAUUGCAGGUCAGAAGUGAAAUGCCGGGGCUUAACUCCGGAGCUGCUUUUGAAACCGCAGUUCUUGAGUAUCGGAGAGGCAAUCGGAAUUCCUAGUGUAGCGGUGAAAUGCGUAGAUAUUAGGAGGAACACCAGUGGCGAAGGCGGAUUGCUGGACGACAACUGACGCUGAGGCGCGAAAGCGUGGGGAGCAAAC
rnacentral:rRNA from 1 species